CCUAAUUAUAAACCCUUUAUGAAUCCUUUAUAAGGGUAGUCUUAUUGUAAAGUGGUACCAACUCUUCUAACUUCUCUUUUCCAGGUCGCUUGAGGCUCAUCAUCGUGACUGUGGGUUUAGCAGCUCUCAUCAUCACCGUGGUUACAGUCAACAUGUGGACAAGAGCUAAAGGGAGCAAAGCACAGACGGAAGAAAACAUGGAGCAGAUUGAUGAAGAUGAAGAUGAAGAUGAGGUGAACUAUGAAAACGAUGGAGGGUCUUCUGCCUCUGUGUGACUGAUCAACAACUCCCCUCAGAGCCCACUGCUGUCAAACAUCACCUCCUCAUAUUCUACAGGAGAAAACAGGAGAACCAUGAGAUCAUUUUAACAUUUCUGAUGACUGAGAACACCUGAGCCCCAUGAGAGGCCCUUCAGAAACUCACCUCCAUAUGAUAGGAAACAUAGCUUAUUAUAUUCAUUCAUUUCUGAUUUUACAUCCUUUAAUUAUGCUCUCACAUUCCAAUACAUAGUGCUUAAACUUAAAACUUAAACUUUCAGCUGUUUAUUCUGUAUAAUAAUGUAUUAUUAUCAGCAUUGCUUGUACUUACAGUAUAUAUUUUAUUCUUAUAUAUUCACUUCUUACUGUAACUGCUGCACAUGUUCAUACAUACAAGUGUUGGGUUGAAUUCACAAAAUAUCUAAAUUGUAAAAUGAUCCCUAAUCUAUAUUUUUUUCAUUGUGCUCUCUGGGACUAUCAGUCAAACUUGGUUCAAUCAAUUUUAAGAAAAGAUUUUAAUGGUUGUUGCAAUUAAUGAUUCAUAAAAUGUCUUAUAAUUAGCAUUACAUGUCCUUACACCUACAUUAUUAUACCUGUACUGCCUACUGUAACUGUAGCACAUGUUCAUGCUGUAUAUGUCAGGGUUGAGUAAGCAGGCAGGACCCAAAUGCAGAUUUCCAAGAAUAAUCCUUUA